UACGUAGGCAGCAAGCGUUGUUCGGAGUUACUGGGCGUAAAGGGUGUGUAGGCGGUUUUUUAAGUUUGGUGUGAAAUCCCGGGGCUCAACCCUGGAAUUGCAUUGAAUACUACCUUGCUAGAGUACCGGAGAGGAAACUGGAAUUUACGGUGUAGCGGUGAAAUGCGUAGAGAUUUGGAGGAACACCAGUGGCGAAGGCGACUAUCUGGUCUGUAACUGACACUGAGGCGCGAAAGCGUGGGGAGCAAACAGG
rnacentral:rRNA from 1 species